AUUGAACGCUGGCGGCAUGCCUUACACAUGCAAGUCGAACGGUAACAGGUCUUCGGAUGCUGACGAGUGGCGAACGGGUGAGUAAUGCAUCGGAACGUGCCCAGUUGUGGGGGAUAACUGCUCGAAAGAGCAGCUAAUACCGCAUACGACCUGAGGGUGAAAGCGGGGGAUCGCAAGAUCUCGCGCAAUUGGAGCGGCCGAUGUCAGAUUAGGUAGUUGGUGGGGUAAAGGCCUACCAAGCCGACGAUCUGUAGUUGGUCUGAGAGGACGACCAGCCACACUGGGACUGAGACACGGCCCAGACUCCUACGGGAGGCAGCAGUGGGGAAUUUUGGACAAUGGGCGCAAGCCUGAUCCAGCAAUGCCGCGUGCAGGAAGAAGGCCUUCGGGUUGUAAACUGCUUUUGCCAGGGAAGAAAUCCUCUGGGUUAAUACCCCGGGGGGAUGACGGUACCUGAAGAAUAAGCACCGGCUAACUACGUGCCAGCCGCCGCGGUAAGAC
rnacentral:rRNA from 1 species